rnacentral:rRNA from 1 species
AUGUCCAGCAAUGGCGGCCCAACAGUCGCCGUCAAGCUGUUCAUCGACAAGGAGAAGAAGAGGGUGCUGUUCGCGGAAUCCGACAAGGACUUCGUGGACAUCCUCUUCGGCUUCCUCACGCUGCCGCUCGGCACGAUCGUCCGUCUCUUUGACAAGCAGUCCCAGAUCGGGUGCCUCGACGAGCUGUACAGGAGCGUGGAGAGCCUCGGGGAAGAGCACUUCCAGACCAGGCACUGCAGGACCAUGCUUCUUCGCCCCGUCAAUGCCGCGGCGGCUCACUGCGACCGGCUCAAGGUCAAAGUGGACGCCGAUCAGACAGGGAUACACGUCUGCCUUUAUCGUUCGAGCUCGAGCUGUGGUACUGGUACAGGGUACUUCAGCUCAAUCCGUGAUGUUAGUUGCAAGUGUGGCAGCAUCAUGAGAGACAUUAGGAGAUGGCCACAUAGUUCUCCUGAAGCUACUGAAGGCAGUGCUGUAGAUGGGGUUUUCUCCAAAGGUGGCUCCAAGUUCAUCGUCACGGAUGAUCUCCAAGUUGCUCCUUCCUCUACAACUCUCAUGUUUUCUCUGAUCGACAAGCUUGGGCUGCAGGAACCACUGAAUAUCAAGGAGGAGGUGCUCCAACUCAAUUCCAAUAAGAUAAUUAGCUUGCUUAGGAGGGCGCUGCUGUCUAAGCAACCUUUGACAGGCCUAUAUUUCGAUGUCGCUAUUGCGCCGAAUUGGGCGAGUUUUUAUCGGCUUCCUGAGAAACUGUUAACAACACAAGCAAUUGUGGCUGAUCCCAAGUUCCAACCUAUAAAGAUAAGGCUUGUUCAGGCAAGGGAUGAUUCCUCUGUGUUGUAUGCUGAAGUUCAGCAAGACCUGGUUGAUCUUCUGUUUGGCCUCCUCUGCAUUCCUGUUGGAUCUGUAAUAAAGACUUACGGUCAAUUGUCACCAGACGGAUGUCUUCAUAAUAUCUACAACAGUGUGAAUGUAGCUGGAUGUGUCAAACAAGAAUGCAAAAGCUUGCUUCUAUCACCAAAGCUGCCCCCUUUCUUUGGGUGCAGCAGCAACGUGCUCCAAGUUGAAGAAUUAUAUCCAAGGUCGCAUCACUCUCCUUCGAAUUAUCUCAGCGAGCUGAAUCCAAAAUCCCCAUACCGGGGACGUGACACUGGUUAUACAAGUUAUGUCAACUUAGGGUCCAUCAACUUCAUGGUGACCGAUGACCUGCGCAUCGUCGAUUUCUCCCUGGCCAGGAGUCUCCAGGCCAUACGUUCGGCAAAGAUUCCGAACGGGGAGCUCGUGGAGAAAGAGCUAACUCUUGACAAAACCCAGGUUCUGAAGCUGCUAAGAGCUGCAACGGCUACCCGCAAUGCGCUCAGCAGCGUGCUCUUGCCUCCACCAAAGUAUGCUGCGACAACCUCAACUCAAACCACCCCAUCGUCAGGCCUCCAGCUGAGGAGGAGUUUGCGACUCCGGAAGCUCAUCCAGCCAGGAGAGUGA